rnacentral:tRNA from 1 species
CGCAUAGCUCAGCUGGUUAGAGCGCACGCCUGAUAAGCGUGAGGUCGAUGGUUCGAGUCCAUUUAGGCCC